GUCAGUAUAACUACGUCACUCAGAGGUGUGGAUUUUCCACGCCCUUGAGCGACAUGGUUAUAGCAACAUAAGCUGGUAAUGCCGAUCCAGUCUUAGGUAUAUAGCAGGCAUGUAUCACAUGUCAAAGCCCAAUGUGGCUGUUAAAGCUUAUGUAUCUUCCAAGGAGGCACUGUAGUUUGUGGAACAGCCACGAGCAGCAGCCGCUGGGGCUACACUUCUGCUGCCUCUUCAAACAAAAGAUUUAUCUUCUCUAUCCUACACUCUACUCCCGAGACGUUUCUGAUUUGCUACCCAUCACACAACAGGGUAAAGGGGGCAGGGGAACUACUGAACCGGAGCUGCUGGGGCAUGGAGACAUCACCCGGCCAGGGCCCUGCAGCAGCUGCAAAUGUUUCAAGCCUCCCUCCUCCAUCCCAGAGGCUAUCUCAGAUAAGGCGGCGAAAAAAACGCACCUGCAUUGACAUGUUCUCUGAGCUCAUGCGGUCGUCCGGCACUGACAGAGCUGUGUGGAGGGACACAAUAGCAGAGUACAGGACGGUGGCCGAUGAACGUGAGGAGAGGUGGUGGUAGGAAGAUCAGAGGAGGCAUGAGGAAACGCUGGGGAUACUGCGGGAUCAAACGGACAUGCUCUGGCGUCUGGUGGAGGUUCAGGAAUGGCAGCAGGACCACAGACUGCCGCUGCAGCCCCUGCUUAACCGCCCUCCCACCUCCCCAAGUUCCAUAGCCUCCUCACCCAGACGCCCAAGAACGCGGGGUGGGAGGCUCUGGGCACCCAACCACCCCACCCCAGUGGACAGCCCAAGCAACAGAAGGCUGGCAUUCAACAAGUUUUAAAGUGGCCUUUUCCUUCCCUCCUAUCCUCCUCCCACACCCCACCCAGGCUACCUUGUGAGUUAUCUCCCUAUUUUUAUAAUCAAUUAAUAAAGAAUACAUGUUUUUUAAAUGA